CUACGGGCCGCAGCAGUGGGGAAUAUUGGACAAUGGGGGAAACCCUGAUCCGGCAAUGCCGCGUGUGUGAAGAAGGCCUGCGGGUUGUAAAGCACUUUCGGUUGGGAGGACUGCUUCUAGCACUAAUAUUGUUGGAAGUUGACGUUACCUUCAGAAGAAGCACCGGCUAACUCCGUGCCAGCAGCCGCGGUAAUACGGAGGGUGCAUGCGUUAAUCGGAAUUACUGGGCGUAAAGCGCGCGUAGGCGGCUAGAUCAGUCGGGUGUGAAAGCCCCGGGCUUAACCUGGGAACUGCAUCCGAUACUGUCUAGCUUGAGUACAGGAGAGGAGAGUGGAAUUCCACAUGUAGCGGUGAAAUGCGUAGAUAUGUGGAGGAACACCAAUGGCGAAGGCAGCUCUCUGGCCUGAUACUGACGCUGAGGUGCGAAAGCGUGGGGAGCAAACAGGAUUAGAUACCCGAGUAGUC
rnacentral:rRNA from 1 species